rnacentral:rRNA from 1 species
UACGUAGGGUCCGAGCGUUGUCCGGAAUUACUGGGCGUAAAGAGCUCGUAGGUGGUUUGUCGCGUUGUUCGUGAAAACUCACAGCUCAACUGUGGGCGUGCGGGCGAUACGGGCAGACUUGAGUACUGCAGGGGAGACUGGAAUUCCUGGUGUAGCGGUGGAAUGCGCAGAUAUCAGGAGGAACACCGGUGGCGAAGGCGGGUCUCUGGGCAGUAACUGACGCUGGAGGAGCGAAAAGCGUGGGGAGCGAACAGGG